rnacentral:rRNA from 1 species
AACGAACGCUAGCAAUAUGCUUAACACAUGCAAGUCGAAUGGUCGCAAGGCCAUGGCACACGGGUGAGUAACGCGUAGGAAUCUACCUUCCAGAGGGGGAUAACAUUUUUGGGAAACUGAGAAUGGAAUACCGCAUAGGAGCAAAGGAUGAAAAUCCGCUGGAAGAUGAGCCUGCGUAGGAUUAGGUAGUUGGUGGGGUA